rnacentral:lncRNA from 1 species
AGGUGACUCCGGCAAUGGCGCGGGGGCGGAGGAUGCGGGCGGCCGGGCGUGGGCACGACUCGCCCAGGCUGCGCUUCCCGACCCGGCCCCGGAGCGAUGGGUCCGCUAGGGCUCGGCGCCGUGAUUUGGCGGGGACCGGGGCAAAGCACCCAGUACUAACGACUCAGCGGGUCCCACUCGCCAAGAGUCGAUUUUCGUCCUCACCACAGACUUGGGAGGGAGGUCUUAUUUUGCUAAUGAGAAAACGGAGGCUCAGAGGGGUGAGCCGAUUUGCCCGAGGUCACACAGGAAGAGGCGGAAUUCCUAGCGAGUGUGGGCGUGCACCCGUUGCUCAGGUUCCCAGAACGCUGGGCCGUUUGUUAGAUGCUCUUUUCCUGCAGAUAAAGAAAUGGAGGCCCAGGGAGCUGAAGUUCUUUCCCAGCAUUUGCUGCCAGGAGUCUCUCCACCAUGAGGAAUGAGGCCAAGGUUAAGUCCAUCUAACUCUAGAAACUGGCCUUCUGGCACCCCGGGCUGAGUUUUCUCACCCUACCCUUGCACCUCACUCAGGCAGUCAGUCCUUGGGAGAGUGAAUGAACACGCAGGAGACCUCACCUACCACCAGGGUCCUGGUCCAGUGCCCUGGGCACCUAACAGCACCAGCCUCCUCCAGGCUUUUCUGGCCCCUGCGACUCCUCCUAGUACCCGCAACACAGUGACCAGACCACUUCCCUGCUCAAAGUUCUUCCACACAUCACCAAUGCUGACAGAUCAGUGCUACAUUCCUCUUCUAGGCAGUCAGGAACCAUCACAACCUGGCUCCUGCCUGUCAUCCUGGCCUUCCAGAUUCUCAUUUGACAGGCUGGAGAGACACAUACUUUGGUCAAUUUUGCAAAAUACAAUAAGUAAAUAAAGAGAUGCACAGCACUGGA